UACGGAGGGUGCAAGCGUUAGUCGGAAUUACUGGGCGUAAAGCGCACGCAGGCGGUUUGGUAAGUCAGAUGUGAAAUCCCCGGGCUCAACCUGGGAACUGCAUCCGAUACUGGCGAGCUUGAGUCUGGUAGAGGGGGGUGGAAUUCCAGGUGUAGCGGUGAAAUGCGUAGAGAUGCGGAGGAACACCAGUGGCGAAGGCGGCUCACUGGACGGAGACUGACGCUGAGGUGCGAAAGCGUGGGGAGCAAACAGG
rnacentral:rRNA from 1 species